rnacentral:rRNA from 1 species
AGUGAACGCUGGCGGUAGGCCUAACACAUGCAAGUCGAACGGCAGCACAGUAAGAGCUUGCUCUUACGGGUGGCGAGUGGCGGACGGGUGAGGAAUACAUCGGACUCUACUUUUUCGUGGGGGAUCACGUAGGGAAACUUACGCUCAUACCGCAUACGACCUACGGGUGAAAGCAGGGGAUCUUCGGACCUUGCGCGAUUGAAUGAGCCGAUGUCGGAUUAGCUAGUUGGCGGGGUAAAGGCCCACCAAGGCGACGAUCCGUAGCUGGUCUGAGAGGAUGAUCAGCCACAAUGGAACUGAGACACGGUCCAGACUCCUACGGGAGGCAGCAGUGGGGAAUAUUGGACAAUGGGCGCAAGCCUGAUCCAGCCAUACCGCGUGGGUGAAGAAGGCCUUCGGGUUGUAAAGCCCUUUUGUUGGGAAAGAAAAGCAGCAGGUUAAUACCCCGCUGUUCUGACGGUACCCAAAGAAUAAGCACCGGCUAACUUCGUG